GACAGAGGUCCCAAGCGUUAGGCGGAAUCACUGGGCUUAAAGCGUGUGUAGGCGGAUUUGUAAGGACCUUGUGAAAUCCCACGGCUCAACCGUGGAACUGCUUGGUAUACUGCUUAUCUUGGGCCAUCUAGGGGCGAGCGGAACAAACGGUGGAGCGGUGAAAUGCGUAGAUAUCGUUUGGAACGCCAAUGGUGAAAACAGCUCGCUGGGGAUGUGCCGACGCUGAGAUACGAAAGCCAGGGGAGCGAACGGG
rnacentral:rRNA from 1 species